AGUGAACGCUGGCGGUAGGCCUAACACAUGCAAGUCGAACGGCAGCACAGGAGAGCUUGCUCUCUGGGUGGCGAGUGGCGGACGGGUGAGGAAUACAUCGGAAUCUACUCUGUCGUGGGGGAUAACGUAGGGAAACUUACGCUAGUACCGCAUACGACCUACGGGUGAAAGCAGGGGACCUUCGGGCCUUGCGCGAUUGAAUGAGCCGAUGUCGGAUUAGCUAGUUGGCGGGGUAAAGGCCCACCAAGGCGACGAUCCGUAGCUGGGCGGAGAGGGUGAUCAGCCACACUCGAACUGAGACACGGUCCAGACUCCUACGGGAGGCAGCAGUGGGGAAUAUUGGACAAUGGGCGCAAGCCUGAUCCAGCCAUACCGCGUGGGUGAAGAAGGCCUUCGGGUUGUAAAGCCCUUUUGUUGGGAAAGAAAUCCAGCUGGGUAAUACCCGGUUGGGAUGACGGUACCCAAAGAAUAAGCACCGGCUAACUUCGUGCCAGCCGCCGCCGUAA
rnacentral:rRNA from 1 species